GUACACCACAUCUUCUUUACCCAUUCAUCUACUGAUGAACACUCAGGUUGCUUCCAUAACUAGUAAAUGCAC